UCCUUUCCCCCCCCCAUGGAUCCUUCCAAGCAAAGCUUCCCGGAUCAUCUGGAUUCCUGCAGCUCUCAGCUGCCAGGAGCCCGGAGGGAGGGAGGGAGCAGCACGCAGCCUGGGAGGCAGCUGGGAUGAGAGACGCACGACGUAUAUAUUUUCCAUUUUCUCAUCUGAAUUACGAGCUCCAAUAAAUAAGGCUGGAAAUCUCACGCAGCGCCGACCUCCUCCCAGGUAUCCCACGCUCGGAGCCAGCGGAGGUGGCAGCAGGUCUGUCACUUUGCAGCGGGGCCGCUGUAAUUAUGCUGUGGGAAGCAGAGCUCACUUCGCCGAACCCUGAGCGGAUUAAGGAUCCUCCGUGCCUUUUCCCACCCCUCUCUGCCAGGGAAGGAGACGCCUGGAGGAGCUCUGAGGGGGUGAAGCAGCCUGCAGGAGAUCUGCUGCCUUCUCCCCGCUGGUGCUCCCCUCCAGCUCCUUCUGGAUGCAUGGCACGGGCUCUGCUUGCUGCUAGAUCACCCCUUCCCAUCAACACGUCUGCAACACCGGGACCUUCUCCUUCAGAGCUCACCCUGAGCUGCUGCAUGCAGGGUGCUCCCCAGCACACGGGGAGGUCUGUGCAAGGCAGCAGCUUCCAGCCCGAGCUGCCGUUGUGCUCUGUGUGCAGCAGGGAGGUGUAUCAUUAAUCUAUUAAUUAUUCACACUGCGCCAGACGGGCGCGCGGAAGAUCAGACGGGGAUUGCUGGCUCCCAGCGAGCUCCUCGACUCUCCUUAUGUCAAGAAUUGCUCUUCAGUCACAGGCACGUUGUCACCGGCCACCUGCAUGUGACAGGACAAUCUUUGUUAAAAUCCCAAUUAGCAGAUAAUAAGGGCGGCACGAAACCACAUUCUCCCAAGCCAGAUUGGCACCCGCCCUCCUAUUUUUUUUCCUUUCUCUUUAUUUUUUGUCCUUUCCCUUUCUAAAAUGGAUGUUUCUCGCCAAGACUUCAGGGCAAGAGGCAGCUCAGGCUUUCAGUAGGAACAACUGGAGAAAGCUAGAGGAGCUCAUGGUCUACCUGGUGCAAGGCAUGGAGAGAAGAAGCUACAGAAAGAGGUCUGAAGAAGUGGAAGCCUCCACUGAAUGCCACGUCGUCCCAUGGCCCCCUUGUAAACAAGGCAGGGCUCCCAGUGCCUCAGCACAAGGCUUUAAAGGCAUUGCUCCACUCUUUUGGAUUAGUGACCCAUUCUAACAGGUCCUCAUUGACCGCCAUCGCGGGUCUCUCAAAGAGUCCAUUGGGCGCAGCUUACAAAGGAGCUGAGCCGGAGAUGAAGAGUUUACAAAAAGUUUGUAGGAAACCGUGGAGUCCUUUUAAAAGAGAAUAAACUGCCACUGCUGUGUCUGGGCUGAGUUAAUCUGAUUAGGCCAAGCUCAUCAACAGCCCCGCUGAAAGGAGCGCGGGGGGAACGCGGGCUGGGGCGGCCCUGGAGAGAAACCGGGGACCUUUUUAGCAUGGAAGUCAAACAAAACCCAUUGUGGCAGAGCGUGCUUGCCUACAGAUGGCAAAAUGACACAUCUUUGCAAAGGCAAAGCAAAUAUCCUUGAUGGUUUUUCUCUGUUUUGUUUUGUUUUUUUCUGGUUUUCUUCUCAGGUAUGGGAGCAGACACUGAAUGAGAUUAGCAGAUGCCAAAGGGAACGGGGCUGUGAAGCACUGCAGAUAGGUGUCCUGGUUGCUUGGGUGGGAUAGGUUGAUGAAGUUCACCUUCUCUAUGUAAAAUAUGGAGGGAUAGGAAGCCCUCAUACCUAGCAUUUCUUCUCCUCUGUCCCUUGGGAAUUGCACAGAUAUCUACAUGGGGAGCAAUGCAGACCCCGUGUCCACCAAGGGACAUGGUGGUGGUGGGUUGGUGAUCCUAGUGGCCAUUCCCAUCCUUAACAAUCUGACAACUCUAUGAUUCCAUGCUCCAUCAUCACCCACUUUGGGCCAUCCCUCAGUGGAUGACCAGGCAAUGCACCACCAAGGCUUUGCAGCAGCCUACAUGCAAACCCAACCACUUCAUCUGCUCGUGGCCAUAGCACCUUCAUCCCUAAGAAGCAGUGAUGCACAGCAAGUCAAUGCACUUGGACAAUGUGCUUGCAUGAUGCCCUUGUCUGAUGCACUAGCAAGAAGCAAUUGCACCAUGCUCUUGUACGAUGCAUCAGCAUGAUGUACUUGUAUGUUGCGCCUCCACAAUGCACUUGUAUGACGCAUUACUAUGGUGCACUUGCACGGUGCAGCCAAGGAAACACUGCCUACCAGGUCCUCUCUCCUUCCCCUUUUCCCCAGGCUUCAGCACGUCAAUCCUGCAGUUUUGACCUUGGUAAGCACUGCAGCACUUGAGCAAACACCUGAACAAGCCUUUGGCCCCCACGGCAUCCCAAAGAGGCUGUGCAGGGCCAGACAGCACUGACUGUGGGCAAAAGAAAACCCCUAAUUAAACGUCCCGUCGGGAAGUGACAUCCCCACCACUGCUCUGUAUUAGAGGAGCCAGGGCCGUGCUUGGAUUUACCAUAGGCAGCUCCUUAGCCAAUAUAAUUAAGAACAGUAUCAGUGGAAGGCAUGUAAGGAGAUUUUCUCCCCGAGGCCACCUAAUACAGAUGUAAUUGACUCUAUUUUCUGCUUUCUGCACAUGGAUUGCCGCAACUCAGCCCCUAUUAUCCGCCAACAAAUGAACAGGAUCUGCUGAAAGGACCUCUCCAGCCAGGGCCAGGCACAGAGAAUGGAGCACUGGGCUGUGUUAAAUCCGGACACAACGCGUUCCUUCCCUCCCUUUUCAUCUCCGCCGCCUUUUCAAGAUGUUUUCCAUGCGGGAUAAGUCAGCAGAUCUGGGCUUGGGCAAAGCGUUGGCACUCGGGGAAGAAGGGAACAUCUGUCCCAAUCAGCUGUGCUAUUCUGUGCCGCCCGACAAAACCGGGCGAUGCCUUCGAGAGGGGCUUUGUGAGCACGGCUGCAAUUUCCUUUCGCUGCGAUUUCGAAGGGCGGGGAAGGAGGAAGGGAGGUGAGAAAAGAAAUUAAAGCCCAUUGGCUUUGUGGUGAAAGAGGCCCCGAAAAAAUCUCCAUUUCUAACGCUGCAAAAUCCCCACCGCGUUCCCACAGCCAUCCCCCAAAAGGAUGUCCUCAGCAGCAGAGGCGCAAAGAAGAAUAGUUUAUUAGUGUAGAAAGCAAUUUGCUUAGCAAUACCCUUGCUUACAGCUGAAGGAGCCCCAGUGCUUCCUUGGAGCAAGAGAUGCUCUGAGCAUCCCAAUGGUGCACAUGGGAUGCAAUGGUGCACUGGUGCAAGGGUUGCGUCCCAGUGGUGCACAUGGGAUGCAGCUGUAUAAUGGUGCACAUGGGAUGCAGUGGUGCAAUGGUGAAAGGGAUGCAUCCCAAUAGUGCACAAGGGAUGCAGUGGUGCAAUGGUGCAAGGGAUGUGUCCCAGUGGUGCACAUGGGAUGCAGUUGUAUAAUGGUGCACAUGGGAUGCAAUGGUGCAGUGGUGUAAGGGAUGCAUCCCAAUAGCACAGAAGGGAUGCAAUGGUGCAGUGGUGCAAGGGAUGCAUUCCAAUGGUGCACAUGGGAUGUGGUGAUGCAAUGGUGUAAAGGAUGCA
ensembl:lncRNA